rnacentral:rRNA from 1 species
AUUGAACGCUGGCGCCACGCCUAACACCUGCAAGUCGAGCGAGCGGCGGACGGGGGAGUAAUGUCUGGGGACUGCCAGCUAGAGGGGGAUAACUACUGGAAACGGUGGCUAAUACCGCAUACUAUCGGAUAACCCAUAUGGGAUUAGCUAGUCGGUGGGGUAAAGGCUCACCUAGGCGACGAUCGCUAGCUGGUCUGAGAGGAUGAUCAGCCACACUGGGACUUAGACACGGCCCAGACACCUACGGAUGCAGCAGUGGGGAAUAGUGCACAAGUGGCGCAAGCCUGAUGCAGACAAGCCACGUGGAGGAAGAAGGCCGUAGGGUUGUAAAGUACUUACAGCGAGGAGGCGUUACCCGCAGAAGAAGCACCGGCUAACGCCCAGCCAGCCGCCGCGGUAAUUC